UAGUUCCACCGUCGUAUCAUGAUUUCCCCAAAAUACCUCCAUAUCCUUUCACUGUAACAGGGAGUGUUUAUGAGGAUGGCAACUUACCUCCUGAUCCAUUUCUUGGCUUUCCUGGCACACCUUCAACUCCCAUCAUGGCUUUAGGUUUCCCCAGAAGUACCAGAGCACCGAAAUGUCGAUGCGCAACAUCCUGCAGCAAGGAUGAUUAUCCAGCCGGAUGGUGCAAUCGUCGUUUACGCUACUGUUGUGAACU